AUUUUAUAAUUGAAACUGUUAAUAUAUCUAAAAAUAUAAUGUGAGUUGUAGUUGAACGUUUUGCUUUGAUGAAACAGUUGUGUAUUCUGUCAUUUCUAGAUAUUUCUUUGGUAAACUGGAGGUGUACGAGGAGGAUGGGACGAGUAUCAUCAUCAGACAUUCCUGAAGUUUAUAGACAAAGGGCCGACCAGUCUUCCUAAAGCAAGUCUCAUAGCUGUACCUGAACCCACACGUAGGACGAGAUCACGAAUCAUGACGAAAUGGUACCAAACUUAUCUAGACGUAAACGAGAGUAAGGAAGUAAGAAUACGCAAAUGGAAGGAACAAGAGCAGCUCCUAUAUAAGUACAGGGCCACUGGUCGCAGAGGUCAGAGGCCGCUGAGAUAUGGAGGAACAAGGUUAUCAGAAAGAAUUGAGGAAAGGGGAGGAGGAUUCUGAGAAGAAAGCUGCUGGUUAACCACACAGUCACACAAAGUAUAAACAAUAGCCUGCUAACUGUAUGAUAACUACACCAUAGCAUACAGAUACUGUAAGGUUUAGUUUUUACUGACACUUCAUUCUUCACCAGUGGACUUUCCCUUAACUGUGUAAGGGAGAUAAUCCACUGUAUCAUAUGGUAGUUUUAUGUAGUUUGACAGGUGAAAUUUGACUUUAUUUAUUUUUCAUGCAGCAUUUUUUUACAUGAACAAUAGUCUGUUCAGAACCAUGAUUAGAUUAAUACAAUCUUGUAUCUUGAUAGAGAGUCAUCCUAAUUUAUUAUAAGUAGUCUGUCAGCAAUUCCAUUCUAGGACACAUCUCAAAAACAGUAAGGGUAGAUGUUUUCAAACUUCACAUGCUUUUAGACUUAUUGAUACAGAAAUGUGAAAUAUGGGUUUGUUUUCAAGAUCAAGGUUAAUGUUGUGAUAAAUAGAAUAUGUGGCCUUUCUAAUCUAUUUUGUAUUUGUUCUAAUAUGUGUCCAGUCUCUAAUAAAGGUCUCACACAACAAAUUAUUUCACUAUAUGUUAUUACCAAGGACUCAAUCCCCUCAAUUGCUCAUUUAAAGUUCAAAUGAUGUGAAAUCUAUAUCAAAUGAAAGUUUGAAGAUUUCACUACCUGAAAAAUAAUGUAAAUGGCAUAUAAGAGCACACCAAUACACCUGUAAUCAUAUUUGGGUCAGAAUAAAACAAUGUAACAAAGUUGACCAAGCAUCAAGGUUGCAUGGUUAUAGCUAAGUCAAAUCACCAGGUCAAGGUCAAAUUUUUUACCUUUUCACUGAUAAACAUUUUGUUAUAACAAUGUGGGGCUGCGGUGGCCGAGUGGUUAAGGUGUCCCGACACUUUAUCACUAGCCCUCCACCACUGGGUUGCGAGUUUGAAACCUACGUGGGGCAGUUGCCAGGUACUGACCGUAGGCCGGUGGUUUUUUCCGGGUACUCUGGCUGUCCUCCACCUCCAAAACCUGGCACGUCCUUAAAUGACCCUGGCUGUUAAUAGGACGUUAAACAAAAACAAACAAAAAUCUUUCAAGGUUACUGGGUCAAAGGUCAAGGCCAAAUUUUGUAACUUUAUUUUCGCUUAUGAACAUUUUGUUAUGACUAGUGCUGCAACGAUACGCUUCCCUCACGAUACGAUACGUAUCACGAUACUUGUCUCACGGUACAGUACAUAUCACGGUACAUUUACAGAGUGCCCCAUUAGUUAUUUUAUCCUGUCUGAAAAUUGGAGGGAUACAAACAUAAAUCCAGGGGUACUAUCACGAAUUCACUAAUUAGGUUACUAGUAUUUGUACAAAUUUAGCCAUCACAUUACAGCUGUAAUUAUAAAAAAUGUUAAUAAAGUUUAAUUAAAAUAAAAUACUCUUAGAAGCUUUGACAUGUUUAUUAUUAUCAGAGACCUAUAUACUAUUAGUACACUUGACACAUUGGGUUAAUAUAUGUUUUACAUUUUUUCUUAAUUGUUUUCUUCUUAAAUCAUCUAAUUUAAAUCUUGAAUUAUUUUGUUUUCAAUUAGAAUUCUAUUCGAUUUCCGAUUGAUCUGGGCCUGUUUGUUUAUGAGAACAAACUGGUCCGUCAGUAUUCAAAUGUAAUAUUUCAAACAUAAUACUGAUAGUAACAUUAGGCCUAUCUUAAAGGACUUGCAAAUACAUGUUAAUACUACUCACAUAACAUAACAGGCCGCUGGUGGGCUCUUUUCCUAUCUGAUAUGAUUUUUCCGACGGCGACACAUGCCUAAGAAGUCUUUGUCUCUGGUCAAGGGUCGUCUGAAAGAAAAAUUCCUAUAUAUAUAUAAAAUUUAAAUGAGCGAUACAAAUUACCGCGCUGCGAGAUCAAAAUACUGUGAACCGAACCGUGCCAUUUAUACCACGAUAUACCAUACCACGGAUUACCGCUGCAGCACUAGUUAUGACAUCGUGAAGUUUGUCAGAAUUCAAAAGGAGUCAAUUGGCAACGAUAAAUUCACUUGGUCUGAUUAUUGGUUCCAUAGCUCAAGGAUUGAUGAUUAUGGGAGAUAAAUAGUCAUAUGAGGGGGCCCUUGUUAACCUGUCAGCAUUCUCAUUAUCACUUUAUUUGGAGAAGUACUGAAUGGAUCAAAUCCAAUACAGUAGGCAAGAUGUUAUCUAUGUAAACCAAAGAUCUGUAGAUUAAUGACUAAUUGUUUUGUCAUUCCAGUGUCAUUAAUUUGCGCAAAGGCAAGAAAAUCAGGGUCUCAGAUCUCUGGGCUUUUAACUGUACAAUAAAAAUCCUCUCAUCUGUCUGUCCAGAUUUUGACGUUAACAUUAUUGCUUCAAGGUCACCAGAUCCAUAGGUCAAGUGUUCAAAGAUCAAGGUUCUGGUGCCCAGAGAAUUCGGCUGUAUUUCUGUCAGGUGUGGUAACUAAUGAGUUUACCGAGGAGCAACACCCCUAUAACUUGAACAGAUGAGCUAGUCUUCACUGGUGAGAAUUAUCAGCUACCAUGGAUAUACUGGACCUGUUUGUGUCACCCUUGGAGCGGGAGUACUUGGACGAAGACAUCCGUCCUGACAGACCGAGGACAUGAGGUGUCCAGCGUUGACAUGUACUAGACCUGAUUGUGUCACCCUUGGAGCUGGAGUACUUGGACGAAGACAUCCGUCCUGACUGGAUCAAGGGUAUGAGAUGUCCAGUGUUGGCAUGUACUGGAUCUGAUUGUGCCACCCCAGAAGUACAUUUGACAUCCAUCACUUACUUCUCUGGGCAAUGUGUUUUCCGCUCGAACCGCCAAAAUCAACUUACCCUUGGUAAGUGUCAUCACAGUCAGAGGCACCAUCUAUCUGCAGAGGAAGGGAGUUUCCAUAGUGUACGGUACAACACAAAAUUCAUAGACCCAAGGGGUAAACUUAUGCCCAUAUUAAGGGUUUCAGUAUGGCCGUACUUAGGGAGGAGGCCAGUGUCUGUCGUCGAGUGGAAUCAACUAUGGGUGUACUCACCUCGCGGACAUUACUGUGGGACUGCGGGAAACCUAUCAGCUGAUGGAGUUUGAUUUGUGUUAAUAUUUGACUGAUCCGGCAUGGGGCAUGUAAAGGCAGUGACCACCAAACUGAAAUGGAAAUUAACUAAUCCAUACGCCAGGAACAGGGCUGAAAUGACAAGGAUUGCACCUGCAGUACAGCAGACAGGAUCCUUGGUGAGGCCCUCCUGUUGCUUGGACCAUCGGAGAUUUCACCAUUGCAGCUGGCACUGACCCCAAGGAGUCCAUCCCAUUAUUUGGCCAAGUUAGACAAUCCUGAUCAUGAGGGACACAGAUACCAGUCCCAUGGUCAGAAGCUCUUCCAUCAGAUGAAACACCAGGAAUAACAGACAAAGCUGUACCAUCAACAUGGCUGUACUUUUUGUCCAGGAAUCCAUCCCCUUAUUUGACCUAGUUAGACAAUCCUGAUUCUGAGGCCCUCAAUCCAGUCCCCAUGGUCAGAAGCUCUUCCAUCAGGUGAAACACCAGGAAUAACAGACAAAGCUGUACCAUCAAAAGAUGACUGUAAUAUGAUAGUCACAGAUUUGACACAACUGCAGCAAAAACAGGUCAGCAUGUUAGCAAAACUGGAUGAAUACAAAUGUAGACACAUGGAUCUUGGUCACAGACUUCUACAGGUCAUGAUUGAAGAUGUCUACCCAAAGACUGGGUUCACUUAGGAACAGCACAAACUAUACUUGGACAACACCCCUUCAGCCAAGAUGAGACUUCCUGAGUCCAGAGAACCUUGAGAGUGUCGGAGAUUUCUUCUCCAACAACAGUGGCCCAGGUCUCCUCAUUUCCAAUAGCAGCUUUCUGAGGAAUAUCCACUGUACACUGGCCUUUGAAGGCCAGUGUGGGAAGUAAAAUCAUGCAGUCAUAUGGAGUUUGGAACUUCACUCUCAGACCAAGGGGGAUAACUCCAUUUUGAAUGAGAUCAUGGACCCCAGUCAUCACUGAAACUUCACAACUUUAUUUGGAAUCAUCUUUACUUUUUAGAAUACAGAUUUAAAUUAAAGAGAGACUUCAGUAUGGAUGUACUUGACAUUGGAGAAGCUGAUGCUCCAUUGGAACCAGACACGUAUACUUUAGAGGCAAAAAUCAACAGUAGAGCAAGCUAAGGUGAUGUCACUAGUGAUCUCAUCUCACGGACUGUCACUGUGGCCCAGGACCAGGUGAUGUCAUUAGUGAUGUCAUCCCGCGGACUGUCACUGUGGCCCAGUCUGUCACUAGUGAUCUCAUCUCAUGGACUGUCACUGUGGCCCAGGACCAGGUGAUGUCACUAGUGAUCUCAUCUCACGGACUGUCACUGUGACCCAGGACCAGGUGAUGUCACUAGUGAUCUCAUCUCACGGACUGUCACUGUGACCCAGGACCAGGUGAUGUCAUUAGUGAUGUCAUCCCGCGGACUGUCACUGUGGCCCAGUCUGUGACUAGUGAUCUCAUCUCAUGGACUGUCACUGUGGCCCAGGACCAGAUGUCACUAGUGAUCUCAUCUCACGGACUGUUACUGUGGCCCAGUCUGUGACUAGUGAUCUCAUCUCGCGGACUGUCACUAGUGAUCUCAUCUCGCGGACUGUCUCUGUGACCCAGUCUGUCACUAGUGAUCUCAUCUCAUGGACUGUCACUGUGACCCAGGACCAGGUGAUGUCACUAGUGAUCUCAUCUCACAGACUGUCACUGUGACCCAGGACCAGGUGAUGUCACUAGUGAUCUCAUCUCACAGACUGUCACUGUGGCCCAGGACCAGGUGAUGUCACUAGUGAUCUCAUCUCACAGACUGUCACUGUGACCCAGGACCAGGUGAUGUCACUAGUGAUCUCAUCUCACGGACUGUCACUGUGGCCCAGUCUGUGACUAGUGAUCUCAUCUCAUGGACUGUCACUGUGACCCAGGACCAGGUGAUGUCACUAGUGAUCUCUUCUCACGGACUGUCACUGUGGCCCAGGACCAGGAGAUGUCACUAGUGAUCUCAUCUCACAGACUGUCACUGUGGCCCAGGACCAGGUGAUGUCACUAGUGAUCUCAUCUCACGGACUGUCACUGUGGCCCAGGACCAGGAGAUGUCACUAGUGAUCUCAUCUCACGGACUGUCACUGUGGUCCAGUCUGUGACUAGUGAUCUCAUCUCACAGACUGUCACUGUGACCCAGUCUGUGACUAGUGAUCUCAUCUCACGGACUGUCACUGUGGCCCAGUCUGUCACUAGUGAUCUCAUCUCACGGACUGUCACUGUGGCCCAGGACCAGGUGAUGUCACUAGUGAUCUCAUCUCACGGACUGUUACUGUGGCCCAGUCUGUGACUAGUGAUCUCAUCUCACAGACUCACUGUGCCCCAGGACCAGGAGAUGAUACAUCUUUAUCAUAGCCAUGCCAUCAUACAAGAUCAAAUUGAUUGGCUCUGUGGUAGAGCCGUGUUGCAGAAUUGCUAUGAACCUAUCAUACCCAAACUUUAGUCAAUUCAAUACAGAGUAGAGAGAUUGAUAUUGGAAAAACUGUGAUAGGGUUCUGGGGGAUGGUGUGUCAUGUUUAAAUAACAGAGAAGUAUUCUGUUGUAUUUUACUUCAUUUUGUUAAGUACCUGACAUGUGAAAUGUGUUUCCAUGUUUUUACUGUAAGAUGUGAAUUUGUAAUGCAGUUUACCGGCAUAUGACAAGCCAGUGACCUAUGAACUUACAACUUUUCAGGGUAUGCCAGAGGUUCUAAUCCUGUUCUGUAAAUCAGGUCACGUCCCCACCCCUGAUUUCAAAAUAUUUAACAAAUUACCUUAUUAAAAGUACUGUAUAUACAUUCAGGAUGGCAUUGAAUAUCUUAUUGAAAUAUUUCUGUUUGCAAAUUUGAGAAUUGAUUCUAACAAUUUAAAAAGAAAAAGGAAAUGUUGGUAGAUUUUGAAAGUUAAAUUUUAUACCAGAUACAAGCAUGCACACAUCAACCUAAUAUGGAAAUGUAACAUUCUAAGGGAGACAACUAAGGAAUUUAAAAAAACGAAAUUGUCUCCCUUGUAUCAAAGCACACUUAUACAAACUAAGUUAUAAUUAUUUUUUCAACAGUAUCGUUUCAAUCAUGGAUUUAAGUUAAACCUUAAAAUGUUCUGUGUUCUCACUUCUAUUGGGUACUUUGUACACUGUAGAUGACUAAUUAAUAUAUACAUGCAUGUUAUUAUAAUGUAAAAAUGAUAUAAUACCAGUUGUAUAUGUGUGUAUAGUAUAAUUAUACACUAGAUGGUAUAGAUGAAUAAUAUAUACCUGUAUGUUAUUAUACUGUAAAAAUGAUAUAAUACCAGUUGUAUAUGUGUGUAUAGUAUAAUUAUACACUAGAUGGUAUAGAUGAUUAAUAUAUACAUGUAUGUUAUUAUACUGUAAAAAUGAUAUAAUACCAGUUGUAUAUGUGUGUAUAGUAUAAUUAUACAUUAGAUGGUAUAGAUGACUAAUAUAUACCUGUAUGUUAUUAUACUGUAAAAAUGAUAUAAUACCAUUUGUAGAUGUGUCUAUUAUAUAAUAGUAUAAUUAUACAUGGCAGUUAAUCUUGGCUAUCUGUUAAUGCUUGUUACUUUUAUAAACUGACAAAAUAUUGCUGGCCAGCUUAUGGCAGUAUAUGUUACCUAAAAUUUACCCUGCAAUGGCAAAAAUUGAUCAAAGUUUGUACAAUGUACUAAUAUUGUUUGACUGAGAUGGGUACAUUUUGUAGGUAGCAUUGUUUGACUAAGGUGGGUACAUUUUGUAGGUAGUGUUGUGCACUGUACUAUAACUGUUUUUUCAGAGCAAAAGAUGCCUGAUGAAUCAGGGCAUUUAUGAAAUGUAAAAAAUAAAUAUAAUUGUCACCUGUC